CAAUAGCGUAUAUUAAAGUUGUUGCAGUUAAAAAGCUCGUAGUUGGAUUUCGGGUGGGACGCAGCGGUCUCGCAUUGCGUUUGUACUGCUGCAGCCCUCCUUCUUGCCGGGGGCGGCCUCUCGGACUUCACUGUCUGGGGGUCAGAAUCGGCGAUGUUACUUUGAGUAAAUUAGAGUGUUCAAAGCAAGCUUACGCUCUGAAUAUAAUAGCAUGGGAUAACACGACAGGACUCUGGCCUAUCGUGUUGGUCUAUAGGACCAGAGUAAUGAUUAAGAGGGACAGUCGGGGGCAUUCGUAUUCCGUUGUCAGAGGUGAAAUUCUUGGAUUUACGGAAGACGAACAUCUGCGAAAGCAUUUGCCAAGGAUGUUUUCAUUG
rnacentral:rRNA from 1 species